AACGAACGCUGGCGGCGCGCCUAAUACAUGCAAGUCGAGCGAGAAGACGUAGCAAUACGUUUGUAAAGCGGCGAACGGGUGAGGGAAUACAUGGGGUAACCUACCCUCGAGUGGGGAAUAACUAGCCGAAAGGUUAGCUAAUACCGCGUACGCUCCUUGGACUUCGGUUCAGGGAGGAAAGCGAUACCGUGGGUAUCGCGCUCCUGGAUGGGCUCAUGUCCUAUCAGCUUGUUGGUGAGGAACGGCUCACCAAGGCUUCGACGGGUAGCUGGUCUGAGAGGACGAUCAGCCACACUGGCACUGCGACACGGGCCAGACUCCUACGGGAGCAGCAGUAAGGAAUAUUGCGCAAUGGGCGAAAGCCUGACGCAGCGACGCCGCGUGGGGGA
rnacentral:rRNA from 1 species